UACGGGGGGGGUAAGCGUUGUUCGGAAUUACUGGGCGUAAAGGGCUCGUAGGCGGCCAACUAAGUCGGACGUGAAAUCCCUCAGCUUAACUGGGGAACUGCGUCCGAUACUGGAUGGCUUGGAUUCGGGAGAGGGAUGCGGAAUUCCAGGUGUAGCGGUGAAAUGCGUAGAUAUCUGGAGGAACACCGGUGGCGAAGGCGGCAUCCUGGACCGAUAUUGACGCUGAGGAGCGAAAGCUAGGGGAGCAAACGGG
rnacentral:rRNA from 1 species